rnacentral:rRNA from 1 species
AGAACGAACGCUGGCGGCAGGCUUAACACAUGCAAGUCGAACGCCCCGCAAGGGGAGUGGCAGACGGGUGAGUAACGCGUGGGAAUCUACCUAGUUCUACGGAACAACUGAGGGAAACUUCAGCUAAUACCGUAUACGCCCUACGGGGGAAAGAUUUAUCGGAAUUAGAUGAGCCCGCGUAAGAUUAGCUAGUUGGUGGGGUAAUGGCCUACCAAGGCGACGAUCUCUAGCUGGUCUGAGAGGAUGAUCAGCCACACUGGGACUGAGACACGGCCCAGACUCCUACGGGAGGCAGCAGUGGGGAAUAUUGGACAAUGGGCGCAAGCCUGAUCCAGCCAUGCCGCGUGAGUGAUGAAGGCCUUAGGGUUGUAAAGCUCUUCAGUGGGAAGAUAAUGACGUACCCACAGAAGAAGCCCGACUAACGUUCGCGCCAGCAGCCGC